UAUGAACACCGCAGCAGGUGGAGCUUACAGCGUUUCCCUGGUUACCGCUGUAAACGAAGCGCUUAUGAACACCGCAGCAGGUGGAGCUUACAGCGUUUCCCUGGUUACCGCUGUAAACGAAGCGCUUAUGAACACCGCAGCAGGUGGAGCUUACAGCGUUUCCCUGGUUACCGCUGUAAACGAAGCGCUUAUGAACACCGCAGCAGGUGGAGCUUACAGCGUUUCCCUGGUUACCGCUGUAAACGAAGCGCUUAUGAACACCGCAGCAGGUGGAGCUUACAGCGUUUCCUUGGUUACCGCUGUAAACGAAGCGCUUAUGAACACCGCAGCAGGUGGAGCUUACAGCGUUUCCCUGGUUACCGCUGUAAACGAAGCGCUUAUGAACACCGCAGCAGGUGGAGCUUACAGCGUUUCCCUGGUUACCGCUGUAAACGAAGCGCUUAUGAACACCGCAGCAGGUGGAGCUUACAGCGUUU